ACAACUUGUUUAACACAGCAAGCAAUAAGUCAUAAAGAUGACCUCGGGGCUGAAGCGCGGGGCCCCUUCGAGAGCGGGGCCUGGGGCGGCCGCCCCAUUUGCCACCCCCUAACGCCGCCUCUGCACUUUGGCCACGUUGUUGGCAAGCAAGUUUUCAACAUGAUGUUCUAAAUAUUUGCACCAAAACCAUUGGUUUCCUAUGACCUUCACACACAGUUUUACUAAAUUUGGUUAAAUGUUUGAGAUUUGGCUGGUUAAAAUGGGCCUAAAGGAUGGCAAGUACAACAAUGUUUAUUUUGUUUUGGAGUGGAGAAAAAGCAUAAGGGGACUUAACCUGUGGAUGUGAGAGAAAUUUAUUCAUGGUGACAGAAAUGUAUAUUUGAGAGAAUGAGUUACAAAAGUGCUUGCUUGUGGAGAACAGAUGCAAGAUGAAGAGAGACUAAGUGAAUAUUGUAAGAUUUGUAUUAUCUUCAGCCUAUAUUGCUUUCGUUCCUAUAUGUAAACCAGUUGAAAUUUUAGAAGGAUAUAUGUCUUUUUCCAAUGGUUAUAAUGUGAUAUUUCUAGCUAUGCAAAAUAGAGUUUAUACAUAAAUACACAGCAAGUCUGUAGCACUAGUCCAACAUAAACCAUUUAAAACAGGUUGAUGUUUUUUGAGUGAUGGACUGAGCAAAGAACACUUGGAGAGAUCUCAUGUACAUGUUGUCUAUCAGUGAAGCUUUGCUUCCAUCCACCUUGCAGUCUUAGUGAAAGCAAUGCUCAUGUGUAUAUGCACACACACACACUGUACUUUGUUACAAUAUUUAUUUGGACCAGAUUUGUGUUUGCACAUUAUCUUUUAGCGUGAUUACACUGUUGAAUGUAGGUCAUGUAGUCUUACAGCUGGCUGUAUGUCAAAGUGACAUGUGACAGCACCUCUACCACACCUUGUGAGAUACAGUGUGUAAUGACAUGCCAUUCUUGAAAUGAUAUCACAUAGGUCUGUUGCAUGCUCCUGGAAGUGGAGAAUAUGGAGCAGAGUGAGGAGAAUACUUUGAAGUUGCAUUUAUGUAAGUCUGAGGCUUGUGACAUGUAGCAAAACACACACAUAUACUAGCAGGACAGCCAUGUUAAAGCAUCUAACAACACAUAGGAAGCUUACAAUCCUCAUUAUUCCGUGAUGUAUAAUAAAGCUAUAUUGAGAGGAUGACAGCAAGGCAUAUUGACAUAUGUAAAUCUUGGUAUCUCCUCAUCAGUACAGUCAUAGCCUGCCCUUGAUGGCAAGGAUUUAGAGAUCGUUCUCUUGCAAUUUCCUGCCUUAAGUUGCUUUAUGUGUUAUCAGAUUGCGGCACAAGUCUUUACAUAUUUCAUCAGAAGAAAAAGUAAUUUUGUGCAGAAAAGGUCACCUUGCCACAGGCCUAGACUCAGUGGUGAGUGGAAUUCGUGCGGCUAUGGAUCGCUUUUUUUUUUUUUUUCGCCACCGGCACAGGUCGCCGCUACUUAGGAGACCUUUCACGCAACCGCCCGACGGGUAAAAUCGGGCAACGCUCGAGGGAGGGAGGAAAUGGUAGGGACUGAGGGGAGUGGGAGAGAGCCUGUGUGGUUUAAUAUAGACCUCCUUCACUCCCUGUCCCUUCCCUGCUGCUAAUUAAGGGAUCCCUCCCUUCCACCCUGCAAUCAGAAUGUCAGAUGUGACUUCUGCUUCGACACGUGGCUCGAUCUUUGUCUACUUUCCAUUACAGGAGCAGCUUCCUUGACUAGGCUAGAGAUGGACGUAUGGAUAUAAAUUGACUGGAUGGCUGUUUUGGUCACGCGAUCCUAGUGUUGGUGCGAGGCUACAAAUACGUCGGGUUGAGUUAUCGGGCUGGCCAUCGUGUAUGCUCACAAUACAAAAGACCGUGGCUGUUACCUCAAGGCAAGUAAUCAAACUACUGACUGCGGUAGACGUUCAGAAAGUGCAAUAAUUGCGUACUACAUGCGAAAAACGAAUGACUGUUUUAAGUUGUUUUUUUUUGUUUUUUGUUUUUUUUUUCUGCGGAACAGCCAAGUGAUGGUCAUCUCUUGGUGAAAGGGGAGGAAAAUACAGGAAGAACCCCAUCCCACGACCGAUCUUGCAAAUACGUCCUCCGUCGAAAGAGAAAUAGGUGUGCCCCGAGAAAAUAUAUGAACCAUUUAAGGUUCCGAACUGGACUUAUGAUGCUGUUGGCGAGCGAGUGGUUGACCACAAGUCCACCUGACUGCCGCAUCAGUUGCUGUGCCUCUAAUCACAGGGUGAGAUAGAUCUAAAAUUGAGCGGAUCAGCCACAGUAGGUGCAAACAACGGAUGCAGCCAGCAUUAGACGCUAGCUCCGGCAUUUCAUGGAUCACGUGGCCUGAUAGGAGGCCAGCAGAAAUAUGUUUGCGGAGAGCAUAAUAGCUGUGGAUCCUGCGUGAUGUUGACAUUUAGGGCAGGCACUGUUAGUCCUUUUAUUUUAUUUUUUUAGAAGCUGGCCAUUUACGUGUGUACAGUCCCCUAGAGACUGCUACUGAUGCUGAGUCGUGAGUGGCUUACUCAAGCGAUUCGAGUUCCGUGUUUGUGUGCUUGUGAGCGUGAAAUUGCGUGUGUGUGUGUGUGUUGGGGGAGGUGUCGAAUAAUCAGGAAAGGUCAAUACAUCCGCCCUUCCUGCGUUACCUCAAACGAUUAUCACUUCUUUGCCUCUACAGGCAACCGCCCUCCAUUUAAAGAAAAUGCACCGGAAAUGCGUUUGGUACGUUGCUUCCAUUUAUGGCACCAAACAGAUUUUUUAGCUUCCGAUUGACAAGGUUAAUUAAUGCCUCGUAUCAGCCACCCAUUGCAUGUCCUGCUUUUGACAUGUGACAGUUGAUAUAAUAACUGGGUGGCAGCACCUCCACACGCAGACAUCAAGGUUGGUCUGAUCUGGUCAGGUGUGUCAGGCUGAGGUUAAAGCAGCCAUAAACUGUGUUUGUAGACAGAUUCGCACCUCUUCCUGAUAAGAGAUGUGUGAGAGAACUCCACUGGAUCGGUUAAAGGGGAAGGAGGAGGUAUAUAAAGCAAACAAUAACGAUCAUCAAAAGUAUAAAUGCAUGGUAUGUCGCGAUGAAAUCAAGCAUCAACAGCAAGUUUCAAAUUGAAACCGAAUCACACAUACAGCAUCAGCAGCAAGUUUUUACAUGAACUCGGAUCACACUUGAACCAAACUUAGGCAUGAAAUAGUCAGAGAACAACAUCUAAAUUCUCAGAGAAACCAAUAGGCUAAUUGGGGAGAGCGAGUGAAUGAGAGAGAGAUUCGUUGUCUUGAUGUGUUGCUGCCCGGAAGACUGAUGGUGUGACGGAACGAAAACAGCGCCAUGUGAGCGUCUGUCACGCGUCGAACGCUUGCGACAACAGAUCGGAUGCUAUGACGUCACAACUGCCGUAGCGACCACAUGCGGCUCAGGGAGGGAGGCUGGCUGGCUGGCUGGCUGCUUGCCCUGGAAACCACUCGGGUGCUUCAACUACAUCGGGGUCGUCCGCCGCUCGUAUAGUUUUAUCAACAGCAGGUCGCACGACUGUCGACACCAACAGGAAAGCAGCGAGGUGACGGAAACUGUGAUGACGUGUCAGCGUGCUGAGGCGCAUGUCAUGACGUCACGCGGAAUGUUGCUUGUGUGGACUUGAUGCUGACCCUCCUAUUCGGACACUUCUAGUUUGUGGUUUAAAAAAAAAUCUUCCUUACUAAUACACCACAACAGGCGUGAAAAACAAGAACAGUAACAAUGACGGCCGGACUGCUGGCAGGGUGGUCCUCGGUCAUUGUAUCUAGUGAGACAGUGAGUCUGCAAAUUAGAGUCGCCUGUAGAGUGCCUAGUCACCUGCAAGAGUGCCCGUUUAACGUCGGAGUAGCUGGCUAGACCGCUGCCUGUCCGGUUGGCAAGGUAAAGUCGUGAGUAAACAAUUGCGUCACCGGCAUAAUCCCAGACUUCAGACAGUCGCCUGUGUCCUUUGUGCCUGAGACUUUCCAGACACCUGUUACUUUACUGUGACGUCACCCGCUGGCUGAGACUCAAGUGACUGCCGAACAACGCGCUGUUUCGAACGCCACCAAGUCGUCUCUGAUGUCAAGCACCUGUCAAUGGUGGUGACGACGUACGCCGCCUGUCCUACGAACAAAAGCCACAUCAUGGCCACGCACUAUGUCGUCACUGGUGCUUGCGGAAGCCAACUGCCUGGUAUGUCACCCGUCAUCUGACUGUCUAUUGGACGAUGCGACUGGCUGUGUGAGACGUCACUGGUCUCCGCUGACUCCCCGAGGCACGACACCAGUCACAUCCCCAGACAGUCCCUUCGCAACAUCGCGCCCAGCUAGGCGACUUCUGUCAAGACACGAAGCAGGUGUUCGCAGGUGUGAUCUGACGGUUGAGUUAAAAGACUUUCAGCUGGGGAAUCUCCCGCCGUCAUCCCGUCACUCUCGCGGACCUGUUACCAGGCAACGUAUUCAUUGUCAUCACUCCGGCGCUGCAGAUUCUCUAGAACUGAUGUCAUGUGACUUCAUCACACAUUAGUGACCUCGCCAUCUCUAGCCUGCGGAUAUUUUCUUUUGUCAUAGCAGAUGACUACUGACGUGAUAGCAUCUACCAUAUAGCCUUCACAGCGUCAGAUCGAUGAUCAUCUAGAUGGGUAUGGCAAUAACGUGGUUGACGUGCAGUACCAAAAACUAGCUUGUGACACAGACUUGCUUGUCAUCAAGUGUGGCAUCAUUUGUGUCACGAUGCGGUAAAGCCUGGCUCCGUAUAGAAAUCUGUUUCUCUCCAUGUGAUAACGUUCGAAUUCUGACACACUAGCAUCUUAUCCUGACACAGCGUGUGAUAACACACGAAUUCUGAAAGACCAACAUUGUGUUCGGACACUGUGACAUCCCAUGAAUUCUGACACAGCAUGUGAUGACAUGUGAAUUCUGACAAACAUCUUGUUCUGGAACGGCAGCUCCUAGUUUCACACUUCAUUCGUGCCGUCUAACAGACAGGCAAACUGUAAAAGAGAACAUAAUGAGAACAAGAUAACGUGGCUUGUUAAACAACACCAAAAAACAGCCAUUAUACUUUCUGA